rnacentral:lncRNA from 1 species
GAUAAUUUACUUGUAAAAUCAAUCAUGCUGGCCUGUGUCAUUUCAGAGUCACCAUGUAGGCGUGUCCAAGAAACUUCACUCAAAUCAAGCUGGCCUGGAUUCAAGAGUACCAGUUGGUUGCCCGAAUGAUUUGGCCAAUGUGGAGAGAGAGAAGAGCAAGCAGGGAUCACGGCAGUAGUCAGCGCCAAUGUUACUACAGGUCAGUUAAGCUUACAAGAUAGUGGUUUCAAUUGUCUACAAAAGACACACCAUAUACAAUUUCUUCCUACCAUUUUGUUUGGAAUAUAUGGCUUAGCCAAAGUGACUUCCUUGCCCUGAAAUUCUCACUGAAGUUUUAAGUGCAGCAUGACACUACACACUUACAAUAAUGAUGGGACUCUUUAUUGUUUUCCACUACCAAUUUUUUUCCCGCUCAUUUAUGUUUUUUGUUAGUAAGGAAGUAUUUUCUUUUAAGAUUGCUUGUGUUGUCAUGAAAAUAAUAUCUUGACAUCUUUUCCAGAAGAAUGAAAAAGAAAAAUUCAUGCCUUGAAAAGAGGUUAAAAUAAUUGAGAUUUUUUUAAAUCUUAAAAAGCGUCAGAUAAGAAAUCUAAUGCAGACUUGAAUUACAAAGGUUUAGUUUAUAGUGAUGAUGAUCUGAUAUUCUUGCUGUGUACUGAGGGCAAAACAAAAACAAAUGGACUUGUGAAGUUGAUAGCAUUCAAUUAAGCUACCCAGACUCACUUCCAUAUGGUGGAAAUUUGAGAUGACUUAGCAAGGAAAUAAGAAUUUUCAUUUCUGGCAAUAUUUUAGAUACACAAACCAGCCCAGUAUCUAUUACACUUUAUAUUGAAACUUCACAUUUAGUUUGAAGGAAAAUUGAAACUGUAAUUAUUCUUAAGCAUACAGUUUGUUCCUUUUCCCUCCUUAUUUGGUUUUGUAGCUAGCACACUUUUUUCUCCAAGGACAUGUAAAAGUCAAAACACUAGAUAUAAAGUCUCUGAAGUGUUUCUGCUCCAAACCCUGUCUGUACAAUCUGAGCUCUUUCAUGUAGUUAGCUUACUGGCUUCUGACACUCCUAUAAAAAUAUCCCAUAGAGCUGUUCUUAUUACCUUUUCAUUGACUCUCUCUGAGUGAUAAAAAUGAAAUUCUGUAAAGGACUUUGAAAACCAUGCAUAUUGCAAUUCCUCCACAUUUCAAAUACUAAUCAAGUGUGACUAUAAAAGAAACAACCUCAGUGGUGAAAAUUGCUGCCGUGUGUUGAGUCUCAAGCCAUUAUUAAUUCAUUGGAAACUAUUUUUUUUUCCUUUAAGAUUAUGGAUCCUAAAAAAUACCAGAUAACACAAUUCCUGAGAUCAAAGUUUCUGUUUCAAUCAUAGAGAAACUCGGUAUCUCAUCUUUCCUUGCGUGUGCAUCUCUGGGAGACUACAGCCAAGGCCAUGGUUCUCUGUACUCAGUGAAUAAUGCAGAGUAUGUCAUAAACCAGGGAAGCACCUGCUUUCAACAUACGCCUGCAAGUGAUGUUUUUAAAGACAAAAAGAAACUGGAAUUAAAGUAAUGGUUCUAAGCAAGUGAAAUUUCCUAACUUCAUUCAAGAGAGUAAAACAAAAUGUCCAUUCUUAAGAUUAUUCCAAUAUGGAUUUACUUAGAAAUUACCCUAUAUGCACAUCUGGGCAAUAUAUUUACUUCUUUUCCCAUUUUUAAAUGCAAUAAAUUAUAGAAUCUUUCUUCAUUAUGAAUUAUAUUUAUGUGACAACUCCAUACAUAAAAAUAUAAAAGUAAAAUAAAACCAAAACAAAAAUGUUCAAGCUUUAUUUUGUACCUCAUAUAAUAUAGUAUAUGUGACUUCAUGUACAAAAUAACUAAUUAAAUUCAUAUUUAACAUUACCUUACUUGGUGUGGAUAGUUCAUCUCUGAAUAUGCAGUAGCCUCCUUUGUGUUCAGAGUGGAAAAAUAAGAGGCUCUCUCAGCUUUUCCUGUUUUUUUUUUUUUUUCCGUGUGUGUGUGUGGUGUGUCAGGAAUUAAACUCAGGCACACUUAACCACUGAGCCACAUCCCCAACACUUUUUAUCGAUUUAUUUUGAGACAGUGUCUCAUUAAAUUGCUUAGGACCUCCCUAAAUUGCUGAGGCUGGCUUUGAACACACGAUUCUCCUACCUCAACCUCCUAAGCAGCUGGGAUUACAUAUGUGCCUCCACUCCCAGCUUCCUUGCAGACAAGAGUUGUUCAUUUUCUAAGUUUCUCUUUUGGUGAGAAUCGUGGGUUGCAGAAUCUUUAUAGCAUAUCAAAUACUGAAAAAACAAAAAUUUUAAAAGCUUAAUUAAGGUGGGGUACUGUUUUUCUGAUCGUGCUCCCUCAGAUCCGUUCUUUCAAUUAGAUGAGUUAGAACCUUUUCAAAUAUGCAUCAAUAAUUACUAGAGGGAAUUUUUUAAUCAAGAUAUUCAGUGUAAACAACUUGGAGGUCUUGCUGUGAACAGCUGAACAUGAAUUAUAUAAUAACAAUUGACUCCACACAGCCAGAAGUAUAAUAAACUAUAACUCUAGACCAUUGCUGUCAGCUGAGCUCCUUUCACUAAGAAACUGAUGAAAAUGUUUCACCAGAUCUCAGAUGACCUUCUUCUGUGGAUCUUAAUUCAUUCUGAUGGCUCAGUGAUGCUCACAUCUUAUUUUAAGAACAUUAUCACUAACUUUACAUGUUGUUUUGCCCAUGAAUAAUAGUAUACUUUUCUUAUAUAGCAUGACUAAGUGGCAUGAGGGUAAAGUUCAGACCUUUGAAGUCUAAACUGAGAAUCCUAGGUCUAAAUUUUCUCUCCCCAACUUGCUGUGUACCAAGAGCAAUUUACUAUACUUUCUAUGUCCUUAUUUGUCAAAUUCGGUUAAUAUACACCACAGGCUAAUUUCAAGAUUAUUUUGGUUCAAAUAAAUGAAAGUUAGUAUAGUCAUCUGAUAAACUCCAAAAUAGUCAUUGCUAUAGUAGUUAACCACUGACUCUUUGUGAGUUGGUUGCUCAAGACAACUUUGCUUCCCUGUAACAUCUCUACAAAGUGCUGGCUAUAGUCAUCUGAUAUUGUAGCUCUCAGUCCAUGAGUUUCGGUAUACAGGGUUUUGUUUUUUUUUCUCUUUUGAGAACUAUAUCCUCAUGGAAACUGUAUGGCCUUUGUUAAUGCUAUUGACAUGGGAAGGAAUGAAAAGCCCUCUUUGGCAACAUCUCUAAUUUCUGAGUCUAAGAAACAUUGGAGACACAUGGAUGAUCUGAUUCUCUCUAAUGGACUAUUUAUCCUUCUUGCCUCAGAAGCAAUAUCUCAGGAAAGCACAAGGUUUCUUUGGUUAAUCAGCUAAACAACUAUUUUUAGUAGAUAACACGUGUUAAGUAGAAAUGUUUGCAUUAAGCUGUUUGGUGCAUAUCCGGUUCCCUGCGUUGAUUUGCAAAUGGAAAAUCUAUUGGGAAAUGUUCUCAACAACAACAACAACAACAACAACAACAAAAAAGGCAGAAUAAGAGAAGUAUGUAUGGGCAGAGGGAGAAGGUGAAUCAUGAUAUAGUCACAACAAAGACCUCAGAAAGUCCCCAAGGCAGUUGUGGAGUGGGGGUCUUGAGAGUUGUCCAAAAUUAGGGUAGGCCUCUAUACCCCCUUCACCAGUCAAUAAUAAGGUACAGCUGUCCCUGAGACAGGGCUUGACUGUGCAUAAGGUGGCUUUCUUAAGCCAAGGGCAAAGUCAUUUGGUAAAAGAGGAUUAUUGCUUAGUUAUGAGGAGGAGCUGGUUAUUAUGUGGGUCACUCAGUAAUUACUACAAUUGCUUCUGGUGAUUUUUGUGGCCAAAUAGGAGCCAUUCUCAUUUUCCUCCUUGUGGGUCCCUCUAGAAACCGAAAUCUUUGCCAGAAAGUAUGAUUUUUUAAAUGUGCUUUUUUUUCCCCCUGAAUAAAAUCUUUCUAUCAAGCAAAUUUUGUACUCUCCUGGUUCAUUUUCUCUUUUGCAAUUCCCUUCCUUUUGGAGUUUCUACUGUGUUCUUUGAAUUAUCCCAAAUUUGUAGAUGAAAUCUUCCAUAAAUUAGACAAGUCAACCAGUGCGUAGAACCUUGAGCCCAAAACCAAAAAACAGUACCCUAAGUUCUAGUAUCAGCUCUGCCAAAACCUGAAUAUGUAGCUUUUCAUAAGUCAUUUGCUUUCUCUGAGCUUUACUUUCCUCAUCAAACCAGGAGGCACACAAGGUAAUCUUCAUGCCCUGUUAAUUCUGAAAGCUUUUGAUUCAAUAACCUAUUCUGAUAUCAAAACAGGCUGAGAUUAUUGAGCUCAAACUGUCUCAUAUCUGGGUAAAACUCACAUAUAUGUGAUACUCCACAUCUAGGAUCCUCCUUAUUUUGGGAAACUAAACAGGUGAGAGGAAACAAGCUCCAUAGGAAAGUACUCUGCUGAGGCCAAGAGGGGAGGGUAGAGAAUAGAUAAUAGAUCUAUAAGAAUGUAAAGAAGUUUUUUUACUGAGAUUUAGUUUAAUCUAAAUAUCUAAUAUAAACUUUUUUUAAUUUAUAUAAUACUUAUAUAAUAUUUUAGACAUGGUGACACAGGCUGACUAAAACAGAAAUCAGUUGUGGUCAAAGCAAGACCAAAACUUAGCUAAGCAAACAGGUCCUAGAACUCUGCCUCUAACUCUGUGUUCAUCCUCUAGGACACAUGGCUACAUGAAGUACUUUCAAAAUCACUUGGGCAGCCCUGCCUCUUUGGUCUUGCUGGUUGUAGGCACAUGGACUCUCUUUUAGCCUGUCUGUCUCCACAGCCAGCAGAUUCUCUGAGAAGUUCACAUUACUGGUAUCUUUUCAUUCCUGGGGUAUCCAUUCCAGCUUUGGCUUCACCUCCUCAACUCAUACAUUGACCUCUCAGUGGCAGCCGAUGAGGACUCCAACCAUGCGAAACUUUGCCUGGUCUCCAAGGCCUUCCUUUGAAAUCUUUAUCGAAGCCUUCAUGACCCCUUAACUCCAGCAACCUGCAUUUCUGUAAAACCAGCACCAUGUAGAUGACAACUUGCACAAUACUUGGGCCACCUGGCAUCCUAUCUGUAGUUGCCUCUGAGUGUCUGCUCAACUCAGUAUGGUGAAAAGAGUUCCUAGGCCCCACUGUAUGAGCAGGGAAUCAUUGUGAUCUCAUGAUCUCCUUUCGGAGGGAUUUUGGCUUAUGUACCCUGGAGCCUGUGGGUGUGACCUUACAAAUACCUGAGAUGCCAUCAAAGCAUGUGGUUUCUGAGCAAAGUACUUAGCAUCUCUUAAGGGUUGUAAUCUCUUCAAGCACAGCUUCCUUGGCCCCAGCUUUACUUUACUUUUCUGGCCAAAUGGCAAGUUUUUAAAAUCCUUAAACUCUUCCUUCAGUUCCCAAUUCUCAUAGUAAACCUNCACGUGGUGUUAUCUCCGGCCACACUACCCCAACAGGAAAUUCCUCCUCCGGAAUUCCCUCCUACCGCACUUUCCCAACCAAUGGGAACUCUUUGGGAGUCCUGCUAGAGCUCCAAAGUAGCAGGCCAAGGUGGACAGCAGGGAUCUAAUAUCCAUUUGAAUGCAGAUCUUAACAUAAUCAUAUCAUCUCAAUGGCUUGCUAGCAUCACCUUUCAACCAAAAAUGCCAUGCAUCAUUACUAUUUGGCUAUGGCUCUUAGCAUGCUACCUUGCAAUUUUCUCCACCAGAUUAAAUAUUUCAUCAUUUAAAAAUAAAACCUCACUCAGAAUCUCAGUACAAGGGGAAAAUAUAGACACGUUCUUUAACAUUAAUGGUGACCUCUACUUGAAUUCCUAGUAGAGUCUUCAUUUCCCUCUAAAACUUCAUAAGUGCAUUCUGCAGUCCUACCUUUAUUCUGCUCUUUUGAGCUCUCUCUAGAAUUGCCAAUUAAACUCCAAUUACAACAUUCUAAGGCUUUUCCAACCUGCAUUUCCAAACAUUUCCAAGUAUCUUCUGCAAACUAUUUCCAAAAGCUUCUGAACCACAUGGUCAGGUUAGUUUUUAUAGCUGCAACACUUCUCAGUACCAAUCUCUGUUUUAGUUAGCUUCUUGUCACCAUAACGAUAACACAUGACAAGUACAACUUAAAGAAGGAGAAGUUAAUCUGGCAUUCAGUUUCAGAGAUCUCAGUCCAUACAUAGCUGACUCCAUGUCUCUGGGCCCAGAGAGAGGAGCACAUAAUGGGGGAAGGACCCAGCAGAGGAAAGCCACUGAGCUCAUGGUAGGGUUGUGAAGUAGACUGGGAGAAAGGAGCUACAGGGAAGAACAGCCCUUCCAGAGAAUGCCUCAAGUGAUCCGCCUCCUCUAGUCAUGCCCCACCUCACUAUAGUUACCACCCACUCUGUCCAUUCAAAAAAGGAUGGACUGAUUAAUUUACAUCUCUCAUAAUCUAAUUAUUUGCCCUCUCAGUAUUCCUGCAGAGGCACAUGAAGUUUUGAAGGGACACCCCCAUAUCAAAACCUUAACAUAAAUCAGUUCCCUCUUAGGACUAGAUAAUUAGAUAAGGUGGGGAUCCAUAUUAAGACCUUGAUCAAAUACCUGAUUAUAUACUAUCCAAAGUCAGUUACUUUCAAUAACAUUAUCAUAAAAUACAUUAUGGUUUCUCAGUUUUAAUAGAGGAAUAACUAUGGUCCACUGUUAUUAUAAAUAGUUUUCUAAGUCCAAUAGUUAUUUUUAUGCUGAAAACUAGAAAUCUUGUCAUUCAGAAUAUUGGAUAACUUUGCAUGGCCCAGUGGUCCAAGUCUGUAAUCGCAGAGGCUCAGGUGGCUGAGGCAGGAGGAUCACGAGUUCAAAGCCUCCCUCAGCAAAAAGCAAGGCACUAAGAUACUCAAUGAGACCCUGUCUCUAAAUAAAAUACAAAAUAGGACUGGGGAUGUGGCUUAGUAAUUGAGUGCUGAGUGUCCCUGAGUUCAAUCUCCAAUACCAAAAAAAAAAAGGAGAACUUUAAUUUGGCAAACAAAAAAGCCAGUAUGGCUUUCAUGCUAAUUUUUUAAUUGUUGAGCCAAAUGAUAGUUCUAUUUUUUUUUAUUUUUUAAUCAUUUAUUUUUAUUUUGUACUUAUUUACGGGUUACAGUGUGGCAUUUCAAUACGCCAUAUGCAAUGUAUGCUGAUUAAAUCAGGAUUAUUAACAUCAUGUCAUUGUCCUUUCUUUAUGUUUGCAGCCUUCAAGCUUCUCACUUCUUGCUUUUCAUAAAUUGUAUAAUAGGAUAUUGUUUCUUCCUUCAAUUUAAUAUCAAUGCAGAUUUUUCAUCAUAUAAACAGAAUAAUGAUAUCAUUCCCUUCCCUUUACACUUUUAGGGAAUGCUGUCAUAGAUACAACAUACUUCCUAUGACUUUAAAAUUUUAUAUGAUCAUCCUUCAUCUUAAUAGCAACCCUCUUCUCAGAAGUUUGAAUGUUUUAAGAAUAUGUUAGAGGGAGAAGCAUAGUCAUCUUAUUGUUUGAACAGUUUUGAAAUAUCAUUUCCUAUUAGGCAGUUGUGUGAGCACUGACAACUUUGCCCCUCUUCUUCCCUGGAGAUUAAUUUAUUUCCUGCAGUGCUUGCUCUUUGUGGAAAGCCUCCUCGUCAGCCUUCACCAAUGGGAGCUCUCAUCAGCAGAAUGUUAAUUAUAAAAGCAAAGCCAUAUACAGUAUUAAAAGAAAAAAGAAACUUCUCAAGACAAAGCAAUGUUUUUCUUUUCCUUUUCACUCUACUUCCCACUCAGGCUGUGGUUGAACAGAAUCAUUAUCCACUGGAAGAAUAUUCCACAAGGUGGUGGGGUACAGUGGAAUUUGAAAAGGCUUUGUAACCAGGCGGACACAAGACUGAAUGAACUCUAAUUCAAAGAAUGACUCAUUCUUUGUGAUUUUGUUUUGCAAUAUUUAAAAUUAGAGUAAAAAAUGUCUACCUUACAGAAGAGUUUUUGUAAAUUAAAAAAAAAAAACUUAACAAUAAUGUUAAAAACACUUAUUUAGGAUUUUUCAACAUUCAUGUUUUCAGUCAAAACUAUGCCAUUGCCUGUUUUUGUAAAGCCCAGAAGCUAAAACAUUUUAUUCUUCUUAAUGGUUUAAAAACAUAAACAUACAAUCUAUAUAUUAGAUUAUACUUUCUGAUUUACAGAAAAUUAAAAUUUCAAUGUCUAUAAAUAAAGUUUUAUUGAAACCUAGCCACAUUCAUUCAUUUACAUAUUGUCUCUAUUUCAGUGCUCUGUCCAUAAAGCUGAAUAGUUGUGACAUGUUUGUUCUCUUGUUCUUUAGAGAAAAAGUUUACUAACCUUUACUCUAGAGAGUCUGAUUCAGAGGUCCUAAACUGUACCAGGAAACAAUUUCAGCAUAUUUCUCAGGAGAUGCUGAUGCAGGGUGUCUAUGAACCAUUUUGAAAAAUAAUGCAAUAAAAGAGUUGUGAAUCCUCUUUCUUAAAUUGUCUCUUAUCACAUGUACUCCACUGGCAAGAUACUACUGACUUAAUUUUCAAUGAUAUCUCAAAUAUGACCACUUCCUUUCUAAUCCACUUCUAUCAACUUAGUCCAAGUCAUGCACUACAAUCAACCAUCAUCGCAUCAGGAUUUUUAUAGUGUCUUCCCCACUAGUCUAUUUGCUUCCGCCCUUGUACCAUAGUGUCCAUUCUCAACACAAAAGCCAGAGUAAAUGUGAUCAAACCUUUGCCAAAUCAUAGAAUUCCUCUCAGAAUUCAUAGUAGCCUCUCCACUCCUCCCCCAUCCCAUGGCUUUAGUUGUGUCAGCCACAUACCUGAUUCUCAAAAACUCCAAGGAGUUCCAUCCUGAAGGCUCACCAAGGCUGCUUUCUCUAAUUGGUUUAAUCUUCUUCUACUGAUCAUAUUAUGGCUUUCGGUGCUGUCUCCUAUAGGAAGCAUCUGACCUGUUAUAGGUUCUCAACACCGAAUAAAGAAAUAAACCCCAGACUUCUAUUUUGUAAUUAUCUAAUUGUAUUUUCUGUAGGCAAAAACAGUUGCCAGGAGUACAAAUAUGACUCAUCUCUGAACAAUGGUACAGUACCCACUUAAUCACUGCAAAUGAGGGAAACAAUACAGCAGCUAAUAAUGUGUACCAUUUGUUUAUUCAGACUCAGCCAACAAUGUCAUUACAAAAGGUACUAAAGAAAGGAAAGUAGGUGGUUGGUACAGAUAGGAGAAGAUAGAUGGAAAUCCUGUUGAAACUGUUGAAGAUAGAUUCCAUGAAAUAUUCAGAAUAGAAUGCAAUCACAGAAGGUGCCUGGCUGACUGCAGGUUUUACUGUUCUACAUCAGAUUGAGCAACUUUAGGAGUCUGGCACUCAAAGUUCCCAAGAGGGAGCAUGAGGUGUGAAAAGCAUGGAUUCAAAUUAACACUUUAGGAAAUGUCGGCUUUAAAAGGGAAUGCAAAUCAAUUUUAGAUAUACUUGAAUUUGAUUCCUCUAAAAUAUGAGGAAAUGGAGAUAUUCUUUCACUUCAAUCUUCUUGUUCAAAGAAUUACCCCUCUGAUUUUAUGCUUAUAACUUCAUUUUGUGGCCUGAACAACAGGUUAUUUUUAUAAGAGUAUGUAUUCUGACUAUCAAAGGGCACUUCUUUAGCUUAUAUGUCUUACAGAGAAAAAUGAAAUAAAACUCAGCCUGUUUUUCUAUAGCUGAAGUGUUUGGCUUGCUCUUCAUGGAACUUAGUCUAUAUGACUCCGCAUUCCUCAGUUAAUUUAUCAUCUAAGCAUUUGGUUUGGUAAAUAUUUAAUGCAGUUUAAGAAACCACCUCUGGUUGAACUUGGGAUACUUCCAAAAGGAAUGGAUGAUGAAUUCCUCAAAAAGAGAAGCGUUUCAAAUGAAUUUGGGUUUAAAAACAAAUAAUUGUGUGAAAAAACAGUUCCUUCACAUUUUGAGAUUUCUUGAAAGUUAAUGUGAUGAGGAACAGGAUUUCCAGCCUAUGUGAACUCUUCUGCUGUAUCCAUAAGCUGGCCACCAGAGUAUGGAUAUUAUGUAGAAGAUCCCCACUUAGCUAAUGAUAGGGCCAGCUCAGGAAGGGGAGAGUGACUUAAAAAGCCCCCUCUAAAAUUCACAUGGUUAAUCCCAUUAUCUCACCUUGAAAUAACAUAUUUAUUCUAAUUUCCUCACUUCCUGUUUUUCUACUUGACUAUGUACUAUCUUAAAUCAGCUUAUUGACAAGGGAGAGUGAGACUAAUAACUGUCAAGAUGACAGAUUGAACUUUCUAACCACAGGCCUAUAAUAGUUUUAUGUGCAUGUGAGAUGGUAAUAGCAGGUAAUAUUUCGGUAGCACUUUAUGUUUUACAAAGCACUUGCAGAUCCAUUAUUUCAUUUGAUAUUUCUUCAACUCAAUGAUUCAGUUGUUAUUAUUAUCAAACUUCAUUCACUGAUAAGGAAAUGAAAUUCAGAGAUUCCUCAAAACGCACCGUCAUUGAGUUGUAGUCUCAGGAAUCAGAACUAAGUCCUCAGAUUCUGUUUCUUUGUAAUACAAUAUAUCUAUUUCAUUUUUCCUUAUCUCCCCCCAGCAAGAAAAGCAACAUUGUGAAGUAAGAAAUACUGUUGUUAUCCCUUUUGAAAGAUACAAUCUUAAAGAUAGUAACUAAUAGAAGUGGGAAUUAAAUCUGGGCCUACUGCCUAAAAAUCUUGUUUCUUUUAUCUAUAAUGUAUAUUCUACAGUGGCUAGUUGUAUUGAUAUUUGUGAUUUAAGAAAGAUCUAAAAGAUCUGAAGACAGCAGUUGGGGGAUCAUGAGGAGAGAGACUUAAAUGAAAGAGGACACAAGGCCCUGGCUAUCUUCCCCAUCAGCCACUGAUGACCCAGACUCCAGCCCCAGUUAACACAGAGAAGUGUUAUUGACAAAGAAAGUAAAUUCUUGUCAUUAGGAAGGUUCACAUGUUCAGAAAAAUUCUAUUUUGACAUCAAUUUUUUUUUUCUCUCAAUUAGUCUGUGAACUCCUCAGAAGUCACAAAGCUGUGUAUUUUAUUUUUGUGUUUCACAUGACUCAUAAAAAUUACUAAGAGUUAUUGAGACAGUUUUAGGCUCUUUGUAUUUAUAGAUCUAUUUAAUUUUUGUAGCAGCUUCAUAAAAUAGGCAUUAUUAUCCCUGCCCCUCUCCUGUUUUUAAAGAUGAAUAAUAGGCCCACAGGGUUAGAUAACUUACUUUUGAUUAUGCUACUAUUAGUGGCAGAGAAAGAAUUCAAAGGAUAAAGGAAAGGAAGGGAGGUAAACAGAAGAAAGGAAGGAAGGAAGGAAGGAAGGAAGGAAAGAAGGAAGGAAGGAAGGAAGGAAGGAAGGAAGGAAGGAAGGAGGCUGUUUUAGGUCAUGACUAUUCAGGAGCAAAAGAUAAAGAGAGCUCCUGUCCAUUUAAGUGGCCAGCACUCAAAUGGUCUUUAGGAUGAUCAAGGUAUGGGCAAACCGGAGGUUUCUGGUCCUCUGUGCCUCUUGACCACUGUAGUGUUUGCUAGUGGGGCUUUUUAAGCACUCAUCCUCAUUCUUCACAAAGCCCUGGUGGGAAGGAAUGGAGGAUGGAAUUCCUAUUUGCUGUACUUGAAAGUCUGGAAGGACAUUGUAUUAGUGUCAGGUUUGCCUACAGGUUAACUCAGAGCUUUACAUCAUGCAGCUUAUGCUUGAGACCUAUAGCUCCACCUUCAAUUUCCCAUGUACAGAUGCCCACUCCCUGCUCUGUGGUUAUAUUCUGCAGGUCUAGGACAUCAGCCAGAGUGUUGAUCUGGAAUCAGAUAUUUUUAGAUCACCAUCAGCUUCAACCCCUUACUAGCUGUAUACUUGUUUGGCAGGUCACAACUUUACUGUGGCCUACCUUGCACUGCCCAUAAAAUAGAGUUGUAAUGAGGAUAAACUAAAAUGCAUGGAAAAGCAUUCUGUCAACUGAAAAACACUUUAGGAAUGGAAUUAUGUAUUAUCUCCUAUCUCAUAGAAAUGUCUACCAAAUAUCUGCAGAAUUUGCAUCUCUUCCAUUUAUUUUAUUUUAUAUUUUGGCUCUUCUUAUUUGGUUCCCAAUUAUUUCUGAAAAGCAUAUGCAUGUGAGUCUCUUACAAAGAGUACUUGAAAGCAGAUGGUUUCCUUCCUGGAUGGAUUCAAUACGUAUUUUUGAUGGACCCCUCUUUUCUUUUCUUUACUUGUAGAAAUCUUCAAAAAUGAAAAACAUCAAAAAUAACAAGAUGUGAUGGAAGCCACUUGGGCAGUGAACAUAAAUGUUGCAAAGGAAAUGGAACCUUGCCUUGAGCUGAAAACCAACUAUCCCCAAAGGACGCCAGGAGAAUUUUCACUAGCCACUGCAAAGAGAGAACAAUCUUAAAAUUUUAACAGAUAAAACUCAAAGAGAGCUCUAUGAUAUGGAAUUCACAUAGACUAUUUUGUUGUGCCAAAAUCUGUAUGUAUUGUCUCAUCACUAGGCAUGUUUAUUUAAUGUGAACAGUUUUGAGUCUCUGGUUUCCACUACCAAUAAUUAAGCAAGUGAAAAUAUUUUUGUACUUCAAUUUCUAUGUAAAAUUGGUUAAAAAUAGGACGCUAGCUCUCCACGUAUUUUUAUCCUUUUUUCUAUAAUUUAUUUUGCCAUUAUUCUAAGACUAACUUAAAGAAAUAAUCAUAUCUGAGAAUGAUUUAAAAUACCCAGGUUUCUUAUGUGAUUCCCUGAGAACUGUGGAAAUGAGUUUGUUUAGGAGUUUGUUUUAUAAAUGCACUGUAAAUAAAUGUUUUGGAAUCUCAAUAGUCAAAGCCUUUGUGAAUUGUAGAAAUUUUCCAAAACUUCUUCCUCUAGCUUCUGAAAAUCCUGAGUUUAUGUCUUUAAUGUAUUAUGCCUUAUUAUUUUGUGUACUAUAUAUUAGAUAAUUCUUUAUAUUGAUGUUUACUAGAAUUGUAGGAAAACAAUUUAGGUAAUCAUAAUAUUUGGUGCAAAUAGAAGGGCAAUAGAAUAGUAAUAAAAUAUAAGAUAUUUGGGUGACUGGAAGCCACAGUGAUCUAAUUAUUGUAUAUUAGAAUAACACUUAAAGUUGUAGAUCUGUAAAAAUGACUUUAAGAGCAAUCACAUUUGACAAUUUAUCUUAUUAGGCAUGAAGUAUAUAGAAAUGUUAUUUUUUUCCCUGUGAAAAUGAAGAGACAGAAUUUAUUUGGUUAAAGUUACGUACAAAGCCUUAGACUUUUUUUUUUUAUAUAGGUCAUACUCCUUAUAAAAACUCACUUCAACUCAUAAUCAACUUGGACUAUAUGGAGAACUUAUUAGAUGAUUUAGCACCAAAGAGUAUCUGAGAACAAUAAAUCAUGACACAACUUUCCACAGGGGGAAAAAUAAAUUACAGUUAGUGAUCUUUGCUUCAGUGUUUAUAUUCCGAGGUAGCUUACUUCCCUUAUCUUUAAAUUUUUUUUUCAUUUAAAGUUGCAAUAAAUCCUGAUUUCCAGUAACCUAAAGAUUGUUUAGUGAUUAGAUUGUGGUAAUAUCACUUAUUAUCUACAAUUUCUGAAGUUAUAUGAGAUGAUUUGGCUUCUGUUUAUUUUAUCUGUUUAUGCCCAUAAGAACAACACAUUUUCAAAGUCUAAUUUUGAAGACAAAAGAGAUGGCCACUCAAUCCCAUAGCUGUAGAAAACUGCACCAAGGUGUUUUUGGACUCAUAGGAUUUGAUGUUUUUCAAAUAGAGGAUAUUUAUUAUUAUUUUUAAUUUGAUAUAGGAGAAUAAUUAGAUUUCUACUUUUAGUAAGUAUAAUUCUUUGAUUAUAAAUUGAGACAAUGCA